UCCAAGACCUCACUCCGCCACAGUGACAUCAAUAAAACAACCAGGAUCUGCCUGAAUGAGCUGGGGUUCUAGCCCAGGGAACCCCAGAAGUGGCAACAAUGGGCUUUCUGAUCCCACCAUUGGCAGCCCUGGUCCAGAUGCAAAUGUUCAGCUGUCUCCUUGGCUCCUACCUGCAAUGACAUGGGUUGUCUUUUCCUUGGGAAAGCACCUCUAGACUCAUGGAGAGAAGAGCGGCACACGUGUAGGGGGGGCAGAGAUAAUUGGAGCAAGCAAGUGAAUUGCUAAGGUCUCCUGAUAAGGAGGAAAGGAUGUCCGUGCACGACGUCGUCCUCCGUGUGUCACGAUCCGUCGGUCCGUCCUCGCCGGCUUGGGGCCCCGGGUCCAUCCCGUUGCAGUCGAGGCAGUGGGGCUGCUCACCGAGGGCCACUUCAGUUUCUCCGUGUUCCACGCGAGGCGGUCAUGGGGGCGAAUCUUACCCGAGGCAAGGGCACGGGAUGCGUAUCAAGAGACGAGAUCCACCCGGCAGAUUGAACCGGCGUCUACGCGGGGAGCUCCCAUCCCCACUCCUUGGUCACCUCGUCAGCUUGGCGCUUGCGUUUGUGCAGGGCCGUUUAACGCGGACAGUCGAGGGCAAGCGUGGAGGGCGCUAGUGGAGGGGCGGCAGUCCCUCCUAGGCUUCAGUGGUCGUAGGUCGUAGUCGUUUCUUUGGGAAACAGGGACCGCCCGGGGCAUCCGUUGAUGGUCGUGAGCAGACACGAGCCUGGCCGCGGUCCUGGGUGUGCGCGGUUGUCGGUAGCUUCUCUGAAGAAGCUCUGCAGACAGGGAACGGCGUAAAGACGCGCGGGCGGACGGGAGGAUCCCCCAGGGCGAGAAAUGGGACCGAUGGUGGCAUGGGUCGAGGACGGGUGUCUGGGGCGUGGCGGUGAGCCUUCGCCGGUGUGCGAUCUGGAUCCUUCCUGUUGAGGUUCACACCAGUUGCUCGUCACGUGGCGUCUGCAGCGGCGAGGUCGACCAGAUGGCCGGAUUUCGGUAUUUGGGAGGAUCUGAUUGAUUGAAGAUGAUGAAGGAGGGUUUUGGGAUGCAGAAUUUUCUAAAUCCACCUGGAAGUCUGGGAACCUCUCCCUCCAGCCACAAGGCCCUGCCCCACACCCUGCAGCAACCAAUCUGGAAAACCAGACUUCAACCUCUGCAACAAUAGGCCCCAAGUGUCAGGACUUGGUCAGUGACUCACAGUUUCGUCAUUUUCAGUCCUUUCCAUGUAGAACCAAAUGCGGGGAAAGCCAAAUAUGUUCCCCUAAGUAAUCACUUAGGAUGCCCCUCUUCCUAACAGCUUGUCUCCAGCCUCCCCCAUCACAAGCUCUGGGAAGGACAUGCCUUCCUCUUUUUGCUACCAGAAAGUGUCCCCACUCUUAUGUGUGCCUGACUCUCAGCCUGAUGUGAGUGGCGGUGGCUGACUCCCGUGCUCUAUAGAUAAGUUCUGAGUAAAUAGUGCUUGUUCUCAUUUGGGGGGGGGGGCGGUGUGUGUGUCUUUGUUCAUAUCACAGAGCUUAGUAGGGCAGGAAGCAAAUAAAACUCAUUAUAAUGUUCCCCAUGUUAUUUUAAAAAUCACAUUUAUUAAUCACUAUUUUUUAAGUUGUGACACAAUUCACGUACCAUAAAAUUCACCCUUUGAAAAGUGUAGAAUUUAGUGAUUUAUAAUCUAUUCACAAAGUUGUGCAACCAUUGGCACUAAUACCAGAACAUUUCAUCACCUCAAAAAGAAACCCCAUCCCAAUUAGUCCCUUCUAUUCCACCUAUGCUCAGGCCGUGGCUACCACAAAUCUGCUUUCUUUCUCUACGGAUAUGCCUAUUCUGAAUAUUUCAUGUGACUGGAAUCAUACAAUAUGUGCCCUUUAUGUCUGGCUUCUUAUACUGAAUAUCAUGCUUUUGAGGCUCAUGUUUUAGAAUGUAUCAGUAAUCUACUCCUUCGUUUGGCCUAAGAAUUUUUCUUUUUAAGCCAUUAGAUUUUACGUACAUUCACAUGCCACCAGGGUUUUUUGUUUUUUGUUCUUUGGUGUUUUUUUUGUAAAAAAUAUAUUUUCCAUUUUAACCAUUUAAAGUCUGCAGUUGACUAACAUUAAGUACCGCUUCCCUGCCUGACCCCAACUUACCCCAUCCACCUGGAGCUGCCAGUAGGCCCAGAGGACACAAGCCCAGCCAUGUUGCCCUUCCUUGGAACUCCCAACGUCAUCCAACCUGACCAUGACACCACUAUUAGUGCCCCUCAUUGUAGCAAAAAUAACUCUGGCCACGGAGAGACUCUAGUGAAGAGGGCAGCUGCCCCCAGGCAAGUUGUUGUGCUUGGGACAAGGAAGCAGUGUCCUGGGACCUGCAGUCUCCCAGGGGCCCCAUGAGGUACAGUGCUGGUCUCCUGAGGGCGUAUUCUGCUGAGGUCCCCGCCAGGACCCUAUGGAGGAGAACCAGUGAUCACUUGGGGACAUCUCUUGUCAUUCUUUUCUUCCUUCCUUCCUUUCUUUCUCUUUUUCUCUUUCCACCCGGAAGAGGUAAAGCUUGGCAAGAAAAAAAUAAAUGACUUUCU